rnacentral:tRNA from 1 species
UUAAAUAUCAGAGUUUCUCUGUUUUACUCUUACAAAGUAGAGACGGCUAUAGAGCCUAUUUAAU